rnacentral:rRNA from 1 species
UGCCAGCAGCCGCGGUAAUACGAAGGGAACUAGCGUUGUUCGUAUUUACUGGGCGUAAAGAGCAUGUAGGCGGAUUGGACAGUUGGAGGUUAAAUCCCGGAGCUCAACUCCGGAACUGCCUUCAAUACUUCCAGUCUAGAAUCUGUAAGGGGGUGGUGGAACUCCGAGUGUAGAGGUGAAAUUCGUAGAUAUUCGGAGGAACACCAGUGGCGAAGGCGACCACAUGGUACAGUAUUGAAGCUGAGAUGAGAAAUCGUGGGGCGCAAACAGGAUUAGAUC